AUGGCUACACCCUAUUGAACUGAAAAUGGGCAGAGGUGUUGCUUUGACCAAUGAAACAUGAGUGGAAAUGAGUCCAGAUUUGCCCUAGCUAGGAUCUUCUGGAUUAUUUGGUCAAACUGAGGAGUCGGAGAUGAUCCUUUCUGUACCUGCGGGGAUGGCCAUAGCCUAUCGGGGUCUCCCCCUGCAGCCCCUCGGUCUCACCUGCCCACUUGCCGUUUCUCAGGUGCUUACCGCUGGAAUUUUCCAAGCUUAAUUUCUUUUAUCCUGCAUCUCUACAUUCUCCCAUCCAAACCCUCCUUGCUUUGUCCAAUUCUACCCUCAACCAGGUUUCAGACAAUGUGGGGUAGAAGGAUGGGGUUGUCUGGGUUACUACUAACUUUAAAAGAACCACCUCAAACAUAACCUGGUCCUUUUGUGCCAUAAAUAUCAAAUAAAGGCAUUCAGAAGUAGAA